GGAAGGCUUAAUUGGAGAGUGUCUGAUGCCUGAAGGACUUUCCUGGUUGACAACCUUGAAAAUGGUGAAAGAAAGAAAUUGAAACCAGAUCUCACUGAGUGGGAAGGCCUCACUGAGCUGACCUGUGAACAAAGACCUACAUGAAGUGAUAAGCAGAUAUCUGGGACAAGCAUUCCAGGCACAGGGAACAGCAUGUGCAAAACCCCGGAGACAAGAGUAUUCCUGGAGUGUGAAAGGACUACAAGUUCUCUGCUGUCAAAUGGAGAAAAACAAAAACAAGGGUCAGAGAGCUAUUUUUAUUGAAGAUCUCAAGAAGGACCAAGUCAUUCAUCAAGUGGAGCGGAUGUGGUCAGGAAAAAGGACUGGCCAGAGAAAAUCCAUCUGCAGAGCCUCAUCCUUAUUGGUCAUUUUUCCCCAAAAGACAUCCCAGGAUUCCUGUAUCCUCUGAAUGUGACCCAUCGCCACCUUCAUCAUCAGCCUCAUCAUCAUCAAUGUUUACUUAUUUUAACCAAUAGAUACACAAUAUAAAAUGCUUGGAUGAAGAAUAGCAUUUUUUGAACUCACCUUUAAUACAGAGAAGUAUGGAGAGGUUAAACAAAUAAAAGGAUAGGCUACAAUCUCAAUUUUGAUAAAUCAAUUUUUAAAAACCUGUCAAUGGUUAUAAAAUGCAAAUAUACAAAUAGGUAUAUUUGCAUAAUUUGUUUAUUUACUGUCUGAUUGAUGGACACAUCCUACUUAUUUAUUUUUUGGUAUUACACAUUUUAUUGCUAUGAAUAUCCUCAAAUGAACAACUUGGUGAACUUUUAGACAUAUACCCAUAAGUUAAAGUCCUAGCACUGGGUUGGUUGAGUUAAAGGCUGCAUGCAUAAAAAUCAUGGUAGGUCAUAGUUACCCUUUAUUGAACAACUAAUUUGGGCCAAGAAAAGUUUUAUAUGUUAUUUUUAAUCCUCACAACAAUCUUUCAAGGUCAUUGAUAGUAUUAGUGAUUACAGGUGAGGGUGAACUGAACUUCAGGGAGGAGGAGGCUGUUUUCACGAAUGCCUAUUAACCUCUGUAGGGAAGGCAUUAAGUUCAAGAGGCUGAAGAAGAGACCCAGAGCCAGAAAACAAGACUUGGGGUUUUAUUAGGGGAUCACAUGCAGGGGAGAGAGUCAAUGACAGUGGGCUGGACAAGAUAUCUGUAUGGUCUGGUGGCAGCAGGAUGGGUAGGAGAACCAAAGCUGCUUGCAAACAUCAUGCAGUUUAUACAGCAUUUUCACUAACACCCUCCCCUUAAUGACCUCCGCCUCGCAAUGUCCAUUAAGGCUCCGGGCCUCAAUCCUCUGUAUGGCCCGUGUCCCACGGGAUGGGCUGGGAGCUCAGAUGUUACUCAUAGACAAGGAAUAAAUCUCUGGAUUGGCCACUCCUGGAUUCCAUAGCUGGGAGCACACAUUCAGAUGCAUCUGUCAUACAGGGUCAUUCAAUCUACAGGGACCUCCCCCGACCCUAGGUAACAGAGCUGAAGAGUGGCUGAACUAGAAUUCAGUCCCGAGUCUUUCCAACUUGGAACUGACACAGUCAUCUGAAGGCUACAAACAACGUUGAAGAGACGAUCAUAAAGCUGGAGAAUCCUGGCCAUCUAUUAGUCCACACCUCACCCUUUCAGAUGUGGCAGGGAGACCCUGAGAAGCUUAGUGUCUUGCCAAAGGCUAUAGAGGUAAGAUGGGACCAGGACCCUGCCUCCCAGGACAGCGACCCUUACAGUACACUAGUGGUUUUGUAUGUCUGGGGCCACAGAAGCCCUUUUUCCAAAAAAGCUUGUGUACAACGGCUAAGCUCAGGUUGCUCUGCUUGAAUCAUGGGAGGAAGCCCCAGAGCCUGCUUCUGUCUUGUUUUCUACUUUUCUCUCUCCCAAGGCAUUUCUGGGGAGCACGGUUUGAAAAACACUCGUCUAUAGCACAGCUAUCUCUGUGUGUGGGGUCCAUCAUUCUUUCUAGUUGCUUUGAGCAAACACAAAACCUCUAACUUCUUUUUUUAAAAUGGAAGACUUGGGGGCCACCCUUUGUGCUGUGGUUUCUUUGGCCUUAUCCCAUUGUCCAGGGGAGGCAUUGGUGAUGGAGCUUGUUCAUUUUUCUUGUGCUCAUUGGAUAUGCGAUCACAGAAGAUGUAUCUAGGACUCUGGAAGUCAUAGAAACUCACUAUUAUUAGUCUGAG